rnacentral:rRNA from 1 species
AGUGAACGCUGGCGGUAGGCCUAACACAUGCAAGUCGAACGGCAGCACAGUAAGAGCUUGCUCUUACGGGUGGCGAGUGGCGGACGGGUGAGGAAUACAUCGGAAUCCACUUUUUCGUGGGGGAUAACGUAGGGAAACUUACGCUAAUACCGCAUACGACCUACGGGUGAAAGCAGGGGAUCUUCGGACCUUGCGCGAUUGAAUGAGCCGAUGUCGGAUUAGCUAGUUGGCGGGGUAAAGGCCCACCAAGGCGACGAUCCGUAGCUGGUCUGAGAGGAUGUAGCGCCCAACUGGGAACUGAGACAGGGCCCAGACCCCUACGGGGGGGAGGGGUGGGGAAUUUUGGAAAAGGGGGGGAAGCCUGACCCAGCCAUACCGGGGGGGUGAAGAAGGCCUUCGGGUUGUAAAGCCCUUUUUUUGGGAAAGAAAAGCAGCAGGUUAAUACCCCGCUGUUCUGGCGGUCCCCAAAAAAUAAGCACCGGCUAACUUCGU